GGCGGGACACGUGGUAUCCUGUCUGAAUAUGGGGGGACCAUCCUCCAAGGCUAAAUACUCCUGACUGACCGAUAGUGAACCAGUACCGUGAGGGAAAGGCGAAAAGAACCCCGGCGAGGGGAGUGAAAAAGAACCUGAAACCGUGUACGUACAAGCAGUGGGAGCCUCUUUAUGGGGUGACUGCGUACCUUUUGUAUAAUGGGUCAGCGACUUAUAUUCUGUAGCAAGGUUAACCGAAUAGGGGAGCCGAAGGGAAACCGAGUCUUAACUGGGCGUUAAGUUGCAGGGUAUAGACCCGAAACCCGGUGAUCUAGCCAUGGGCAGGUUGAAGGUUGGGUAACACUAACUGGAGGACCGAACCGACUAAUGUUGAAAAAUUAGCGGAUGACUUGUGGCUGGGGGUGAAAGGCCAAUCAAACCGGGAGAUAGCUGGUUCUCCCCGAAAGCUAUUUAGGUAGCGCCUCGUGAAUUCAUCUCCGGGGGUAGAGCACUGUUUCGGCAAGGGGGUCAUCCCGACUUACCAACCCGAUGCAAACUGCGAAUACCGGAGAAUGUUAUCACGGGAGACACACGGCGGGUGCUAACGUCCGUCGUGAAGAGGGAAACAACCCAGACCGCCAGCUAAGGUCCCAAAGUCAUGGUUAAGUGGGAAACGAUGUGGGAAGGCCCAGACAGCCAGGAUGUUGGCUUAGAAGCAGCCAUCAUUUAAAGAAAGCGUAAUAGCUCACUGGUCGAGUCGGCCUGCGCGGAAGAUGUAACGGGGCUAAACCAUGCAC
rnacentral:rRNA from 1 species